GGGAUAAACGCUGAAAGCAUCUAAGUGUGAAGCCCACCUCAAGAUGAGAUUUCCCAUUUCUUUACGAAAGUAAGAUCCCUGAGAGAUGAUCAGGUAGAUAGGUCAGGAGUGGAAGUACAGUGAUGUAUGGAGCGGACUGAUACUAAUCGAUCGAGGACUUAACCAAU
rnacentral:rRNA from 1 species